AGUCGCCUGUAUUUCUAGUCCUAGUGGAACUAGGAAAGUCUGCGGUUGUUACGUAAGCCAUGGUCGGAAUGAGAAAAGGGUGUGAGCUCUUUGUUAUGCAUGAGUGAUUUUCUUUGUUGCAUGAGUGUGUGAGCUAGGAGGAGGAAAGGCGCGCGUUUCAGACAGACACAAGGUCCGUGUGGUGAAAGCAACAUCAGCGCCGUGUGGAUUACCGUUUCGUCACAGUACCACCUUCGGUGUGUUGCGAGCCGUAUUUUCUAUGUAGAAAAUCGAAAGCCUGUUGUGCUGACCAUGGCUUUUUGGAGCAGGGUUUGACCAUACCCACUUCAAGUGCACUGGAGGUGCUAAAGAGUGGCCAAGAGAGGGCGCUAUUGACGGUCACAGGACAAAAUGGCGCAGACGCUACCUGGACCAUACUGAUUGCGUGAAGCAAGUGUGAAGCGACCCUGGGCCCUAACGGUUUCCAAGCUCAGUCACCAAUGUAUUACUACCCCAGUCCUGAAGAUUGUAGCUACAUGUAGACGGUGGGACCAAGCAAGGUUGGUGUGGGAGUAGAACUCGCCCCAUAUCCUUCGGGAGUACAGAGACUGAACACUUGAACCGCAUGAAUGAUCAGCUGAUCAAGAGAUCAGAUAUGACAUGUAUGACAUGUACUGUUGAGUAAAAGUGGGCAUACAUUAACCUUGUGGUGGGUUCCAAAAGCAGUAAAUUGUUGUAGGCCUGAAGGAAGGUUGAACCCCAAAAGCUCACUUUUCUGCAAAUUCUGUAAUUGUGAUUGUAUAACAUUUAACUUGUAAGUCGUUUCAUAUAUUCUCCAGGAACCAGUGUAUUACUAAUACUACUAGGCUGAAAUCCAAGGUAUGUACCUGACUUGAGUCACUCAAGCUGACCUGCAUGUGCAUGUACCAUUUAUUUGAUUUGUGUAUAAUUUCUGUUUGUGAUCAGUAACUUGGAGUCAAUAGAUUUUGCUUUAUUUGUUCUGUUGCUUAAUUUUUAAGACUUGCAUGGUGCAUGCUGGGUUGAGAGUUGUUUUUGCAUAAUUCUAGAUUUUGCAUGGUUGCAUGAAAGUUACUUGGUGUACUUUCAUUUAAGUUAUUAUUUGGUUGAUUGGUUUUUGUGUAUACCUAUAUUUUGGUCUUGGUUACUUGUAUAAAUAUAUUUUUUGUUAUUUUUUUUCUAGUUCAUUGUAAUAAAUAAGUGCAUAUUUGUUAUUCAUUUAAUCCUUUUGUCGGGUGUGGAAUAAUUGUGUGCAUCACCUAGGGUGGGCUAACGACCCUUGUUUGAAUCCUUUUUUUUUCUUUUUCCUUUGCUUGCUGCUUUCGCGCAUGACAACGACUAUGACCUAUGCAUGAACCUGUUGCAACACUUUGCCGUUGGGACAGUCGUUUAGCGAAGUGUACAUGCACACAAAGAGAGAUGAAACAGUUUGAAAUGUUUAAUGCUCCCUUUCUUGUCAACAUUAAUUGUUUGAAUUUUAAGGAAUCACACGACUUAGCCGUUCAAUUAAUUCAAUCUCAUGCACUUUAGUUUAGGUGCCAAAAGUGUGUUCAAUCACAGCAAGCGCAAAUAGCACAUCUGUUAAAGUCUGUUAAAAACAAUAAUACUAGAAGUGUGUUGGCAUGCACACGAAGUGCUAUUUCUCAAAUAGUUUGCAUUACUUAAAGUACUUCAGAUGAUUACAGUCCAUCACUAGCGCUACCUGUGCUAUAACUGUGUACAAUCACAUGAGGCGCAAAAUGGUCAUAGCACAUCAAGUAAUUCGGGUACCAAUAAUCUAUUACAUGAAAUUACUUGAUGUGCAGUAAGUGUGUUCAAGCACAUGAAGUGCUCUCAAACAUCCAAAACGGAACAUUGUUACAAUCACAUGAUUGAAGCGCUUUUUCACACAUUUAUAGCACAUCAAGUGAUUUUAAAUGUCUUCAAUCUGUUGCAUGAAAUUUCCCCGUUAGGUUCAAUACGUGUGUUCAUGUACUUUAGAUGGUAUCAGUCAAUCACUAGCACGCAAUUAAGGUGCCUUGAUUGUAUACAAUCACGUAAAGCGCUAUAAUUUUAUAGCACAUCAAGUGAUUCAGGUGGUAGUAAUAUGUUACUUGAAAUCCCUUGAGGUGCAAUAAGUGUGUUCAAGCAUAUGAGGUGCUUUCUCUCAGACAGUUCCCAUCUCUUCAUGUACUUCAGAUGAUAUUAGUCAAUCACUUGCACUUAGCUGAGUUGCCAUAAGUGUGUACAAUCACCUGAAGCGCUAUAUUUUUGCAGGUGUUUUAAGCACGUCAAGUGUUCUAGGUGCAAAUAACCUGUUACAUGAAAUCACUUAAGGUGCAAUAAGUGAAU